rnacentral:lncRNA from 1 species
GGGGAUUCUAGUCUACAAGAAGUCAGCAAAAUAGAAAGUCUCCUCCAGUCUAGCCCUCCAAAAGAAGCAGUGUUGAAAUGACCAGGUUUUUGUUGCCUGUGUCUGCUUUACAGCCCUUUUCUGUUUAUAAAGCAGACUUCCCUAUGAGGCUCAUGAAACAUCCCUGGUGUUCGGCAGUAUGACUCUCAAACUAUCCUGCACCCGCACUGUACAGCAGGAUACAACCAAAAUGAUGCCGCACGAGUCCUGGAAGUUGGCAUCUGCUGCCUUGAGACAUCUGAUGGCUGCCGUAAGGGAGCUGCCAGAUCGUAGGAGGUACUAUCGCCGGGCC